rnacentral:rRNA from 1 species
AAAUUGAAGAGUUUGAUCAUGGCUCAGAUUGAACGCUGGCGGCAGGCCUAACACAUGCAAGUCGAACGGUAACAGGAAGCAGCUUGCUGCUUCGCUGACGAGUGGCGGACGGGUGAGUAAUGUCUGGGAAACUGCCUGAUGGAGGGGGAUAACUACUGGAAACGGUAGCUAAUACCGCAUAACGUCGCAAGACCAAAGAGGGGGACCUUAGGGCCUCUUGCCAUCGGAUGUGCCCAGAUGGGAUUAGCUAGUAGGUGGGGUAACGGCUCACCUAGGCGACGAUCCCUAGCUGGUCUGAGAGGAUGACCAGCCACACUGGAACUGAGACACGGUCCAGACUCCUACGGGAGGCAGCAGUGGGGAAUAUUGCACAAUGGGCGCAAGCCUGAUGCAGCCAUGCCGCGUGUAUGAAGAAGGCCUUCGGGUUGUAAAGUACUUUCAGCGGGGAGGAAGGCGAUAAGGUUAAUAACCUUGUCGAUUGACGUUACCCGCAGAAGAAGCACCGGCUAACUCCGUGCCAGCAGCCGCGGUAAUACGGAGGGUGCAAGCGUUAAUCGGAAUUACUGGGCGUAAAGCGCACGCAGGCGGUCUGUCAAGUCGGAUGUGAAAUCCCCGGGCUCAACCUGGGAACUGCAUUCGAAACUGGCAGGCUAGAGUCUUGUAGAGGGGGGUAGAAUUCCAGGUGUAGCGGUGAAAUGCGUAGAGAUCUGGAGGAAUACCGGUGGCGAAGGCGGCCCCCUGGACAAAGACUGACGCUCAGGUGCGAAAGCGUGGGGAGCAAACAGGAUUAGAUACCCUGGUAGUCCACGCCGUAAACGAUGUCGACUUGGAGGUUGUGCCCUUGAGGCGUGGCUUCCGGAGCUAACGCGUUAAGUCGACCGCCUGGGGAGUACGGCCGCAAGGUUAAAACUCAAAUGAAUUGACGGGGGCCCGCACAAGCGGUGGAGCAUGUGGUUUAAUUCGAUGCAACGCGAAGAACCUUACCUACUCUUGACAUCCAGAGAACUUUCCAGAGAUGGAUUGGUGCCUUCGGGAACUCUGAGACAGGUGCUGCAUGGCUGUCGUCAGCUCGUGUUGUGAAAUGUUGGGUUAAGUCCCGCAACGAGCGCAACCCUUAUCCUUUGUUGCCAGCGGUUAGGCCGGGAACUCAAAGGAGACUGCCAGUGAUAAACUGGAGGAAGGUGGGGAUGACGUCAAGUCAUCAUGGCCCUUACGAGUAGGGCUACACACGUGCUACAAUGGCGCAUACAAAGAGAAGCGACCUCGCGAGAGCAAGCGGACCUCAUAAAGUGCGUCGUAGUCCGGAUUGGAGUCUGCAACUCGACUCCAUGAAGUCGGAAUCGCUAGUAAUCGUGGAUCAGAAUGCCACGGUGAAUACGUUCCCGGGCCUUGUACACACCGCCCGUCACACCAUGGGAGUGGGUUGCAAAAGAAGUAGGUAGCUUAACCUUCGGGAGGGCGCUUACCACUUUGUGAUUCAUGACUGGGGUGAAGUCGUAACAAGGUAACCGUAGGGGAACCUGCGGUUGGAUCACCUCCUUA